GCAAGCGUUGUCCGGAUUUAUUGGGCGUAAAGCGCGCGUAGGCGGCGCGGUAUGUCGUGCGUGAAAUCUCCCGGCUUAACUGGGAGGGGCCGUGCGAAACUGCCGGGCUUGAGGUCAGAAGGGGAAAGUGGAAUUCCGGGUGUAGUGGUGGAAUGCGUAGAGAUCCGGAGGAACACCAGCGGCGAAGGCGGCAUCCUGGACUGGUCCUGACACUAAGGAGCGAAAGCGUGGGGAGCGAUCCGG
rnacentral:rRNA from 1 species